GACCAGACUCCUACGGGAGGCAGCAGUGAGGAAUAUUGCACAAUGGGGGAAACCCUGAUGCAGCGACGCCGCGUGAGUGAAGAAGUAUUUCGGUAUGUAAAGCUCUAUCAGCAGGGAAGAAGUUGACGGUACCUGAGUAAGAAGCCCCGGCUAACUACGUGCCAGCAGCCGCGGUAAUACGUAGGGGGCAAGCGUUAUCCGGAUUUACUGGGUGUAAAGGGAGCGUAGACGGCAGUGCAAGUCUGAAGUGAAAGCCCCGGGCUUAACCCGGGAAUUGCUUUGGAAACUGUACGGCUGGAGUGCUGGAGAGGUAAGCGGAAUUCCUAGUGUAGCGGUGAAAUGCGUAGAUAUUAGGAGGAACACCAGUGGCGAAGGCGGCUUACUGGACAGUAACUGACGUUGAGGCUCGAAAGCGUGGGGAGCAAACAGGAUUAGAUACCCCCGUA
rnacentral:rRNA from 1 species